AACCCAGUGUGACUCGUCACACUAUCAUUAACUGAAUCCAUAGGUUAAUGAGGCGAACCGGGGGAACUGAAACAUCUAAGUACCCCGAGGAAAAGAAAUCAACCGAGAUUCCCCCAGUAGCGGCGAGCGAACGGGGAGGAGCCCAGAGCCUGAAUCAGCAUGUGUGUUAGUGGAAGCGUCUGGAAAGGCGCGCGAUACAGGGUGACAGCCCCGUACACAAAAGCGCAUGUGCUGUGAGCUCGAUGAGUAGGGCGGGACACGUGGUAUCCUGUCUGAAUAUGGGGGGACCAUCCUCCAAGGCUAAAUACUCCUGACUGACCGAUAGUGAACCAGUACCGUGAGGGAAAGGCGAAAAGAACCCCGGCGAGGGGAGUGAAAAAGAACCUGAAACCGUGUACGUACAAGCAGUGGGAGCACCCUUUGGGGUGUGACUGCGUACCUUUUGUAUAAUGGGUCAGCGACUUAUAUUCUGUAGCAAGGUUAACCGUAUAGGGGAGCCGUAGGGAAACCGAGUCUUAACCGGGCGUUAAGUUGCAGGGUAUAGACCCGAAACCCGG
rnacentral:rRNA from 1 species